rnacentral:snRNA from 1 species
GCAUCCGAUUCAGCAGCACAGAUACUGGAAUCAGAACCACACUGAGAAGAUUAGCAUGGACCCUUCACGCGGAUGUCAUGCAAAUGUGUGAGAUGUUCGAAUGCAUC